CCUACGGGAGUCAGCAGUGGGGAAUAUUGCACAAUGGGGGAAACCCUGAUGCAGCGACGCCGCGUGAGUGAAGAAGUAUCUCGGUACGUAAAGCUCUAUCAGCAGGGAAGAAAAUGACGGUACCUGACUAAGAAGCCCCGGCUAACUACGUGCCAGCAGCCGCGGUAAUACGUAGGGGGCAAGCGUUAUCCGGAUUUACUGGGUGUAAAGGGAGCGUAGACGGCUAAUCAAGUCAGAAGUGAAAACCCAGGGCUGAACCUUGGGAAUGCUUUUGAAACUGAGUAGCGAGAGUGCAGGAGAGGUAAGCGGAAUUCCUAGUGUAGCGGUGAAAUGCGUAGAUAUUAGGAGGAACACCAGUGGCGAAGGCGGCUUACUGGACUGUAACUGACGUUGAGGCUCGAAAGCGCGGGGAGCAAACAGGAUUAGAUACCCGGGUAGUC
rnacentral:rRNA from 1 species